rnacentral:rRNA from 1 species
AACGCGAAGAACCUUACCUGGGUUGAACUUUGCAGGAAAAGCCGUAGAGAUACGGUGUCCUUCGGGGCCUGUGAUAGGUGGUGCAUGGCUGUCGUCAGCUCGUGUCGUGAGAUGUUGGGUUAAGUCCCGCAACGAGCGCAACCCUCGUCCUAUGUUGCCAGCGGGUAAUGCCGGGGACUCAUAGGAGACUGCCGGGGUCAACUCGGAGGAAGGUGGGGAUGACGUCAAGUCAUCAUGCCCCUUAAGUCUUGGGCUGCAAACAUGCUACAAUGGCCGGUACAGAGGGCUGCGAGACCGCAAGGUGGAGCGAAUCUCAAAAAGCCGGUCUCAGUUCGGAUUGGGGUCUGCAACUCGACCCCAUGAAGUCGGAGUCGCUAGUAAUCGCGAAUCAGCAACGUCGCGGUGAAUACGUUCCCGGGCCUUGUACACACCGACUGUAC